UACGGAGGGGGCUAGCGUUGUUCGGAAUUACUGGGCGUAAAGGGCGCGUAGGCGGCCUUCUAAGUCGAACGUGAAAUCCCUGGGCUCAACCCAGGAACUGCGUCCGAUACUGGGAGGCUUGAAUCCGGGAGAGGGAUGCAGAAUUCCAGGUGUAGCGGUGAAAUGCGUAGAUAUCUGGAGGAAUACCGGUGGCGAAGGCGGCAUCCUGGACCGGCAUUGACGCUGAGGAGCGAAAGCUAGGGGAGCAAACGGG
rnacentral:rRNA from 1 species